rnacentral:lncRNA from 1 species
GUAGAUCGACUAGGAUUUUCUGUCCUCCUGAAAGGUACUUAGGUACCAUACAAGAGAAUGUAGAAGAAAUGUUCCUCAUGGGAAAUGGGGUUCAUGGUGAUGAUCCUAAGACCUAUGAUGUGAUGAUAUCAGAUAUUGACUUCGAAAAAUGGUUAGAGACAAUGAGAUCAAAAAUUGACUCGAUACACUCAAACCAAGUCUGGAUCUUGGUAGA